rnacentral:misc_RNA from 1 species
UGGAGUAAAACCACAUUAUUGUACUCUUUAUUUAUUGUCAAAAUGACAAACAAUAUGUUACUCUCUCACAAGAAAAACUUACAGCAUGGGAAAUUGAGCCUUUGAAAGAAUUGAAUCACUUGUUCAUUUUGAGAUAUUAAAAUAGGCAGGAGCACAAUAUUUGGCUCCUAUAUCUUAGGAACAGCAAUAUUAAGGAUCUUCUAUACAACCAUCUCAGUUAUGCAGUCUUAUUCCCCUCUGGAAACAACUAAAAACAGUUUUUACACAUGGCUCCAAAAAGAACAGUGUGAAACUAAAAGAAUUCUCCAUAGGAAUCUCUAAAGAUGGUCACAUAUUGCCUUUGUAAAAUCAGUUGUAGAUGAAGUACCACCUAGAUCUGCAGUUCGGUACUUUCCCCCAGCAAUUGUGUUAAGGAUAGCAUCCUGAAUCUUAUCAGCCUUGUCAUUGAGCUCUAAAUGGCGCAACAUUGAGACAGCACUUAACAGCAAGGCAGUGGGAU